GCAAGGUGAAGCAAGGAUAUUGAAGUGACUGUGAAACUCACACCACAUUUAAUUACUCUAAGCGAGAUCCGCACAGAAUCCUGAACAACCGCCGUUAAAUGAUAUGUUACUCGCCAAGAGACUACAAGAUACUCACAAGCCUAGACACUCACACUCCUUGCUCAGUCUUUCAAGAGCCCUGACCAGAGCCUUCACUGACUCUGUGAAGAUCACAGAAUCAUCAGCAAACUAAAGAUUGGUGAAUAUUUCUUCACCAACAGAUGCCUCACAGCUGCUGGACCCCACAACCCUGCCCAACACCCAGUCCAUGCAAACAAUGAACAGGGUAGGAACAAGAAAACACCCCUGAUGAACCCCAGAAUCAACUGGGAAGAACGCAGAGGUUCUGCCUCAACUUUAAGCAGCACUCACAGUACCAGAGUACAGUCCGGUCAUGACGUCCAGCAAGUUCAGAGGGAUCCCGCAGAGUCUCAGGAUUUCCCCCAGGGCAGCUCAACAACUAGGUCAAACCAAAUCAACAAAGGCUGCAAAGAAACUCUGUCGAUAUUCACAUUUGCGUUUAAUAAGAUCCCUCAGUGCCAGGAUGAGGUUGAUGAUAGACGACUUCUUAAGCAUAAAAACCAGACCGCUUCAGUCGCACUUAGGUGAGCAAGUGAUCAUGGAUACUACUAAGGAUGACCCUAGCAAGGACCUUACCCGGCACUGAGAGCAGUGUUAUCCCCCUGUAGUUGCCACAAUCCAGGUGAUCACCCUUCCCUUUCCAGAUAGGGACUACAAGUCCCAUUUUCCAGCCAGUUGGGAUGAUACCUGUCUCCUAAAUGGAAGAAAAGAUUGGUUGCAAUGUCAGGAGGACAGCCUUAUCAUCAUCCUGGAGAAGUUCACCCCGGGAUUCCAUAGAUCCCUGCGGCCUUCCCUGCUCUCAGCUGGUUCACCACCUAUGCAAUCUCAGUGAGACUGGGUGAUUCACAGCUAAUCAGAGGAUCAGCCUCAAGAACUGUGCACCUAGAGAUGUUCAACAUCCUAGCCAGAGGAUCAGCUUUAAACAGCUGCUCAAAGCUGCUUGCCCAGCGGAUCACAACUGCAGUAUCAUCCUUCCAGGGUGCCCUACAAGAUGAAACACCUCCUUCUGGGAGGACUGGAUCUGUCAAGACCAUUUUUUUUUCAGGAACUUUGAGGCUAACAAAUACAUGCGCUAGACUGGAGGGAAACUCAGGUGUUGAAGCUCUCCCAUUGAAAUGGACACAGCCACUGGUAGGUCUACUAAUUAGACCCAAAGGAAAGCAUCUUCAAGUCGUGUUGAGCAAACAGUAAACCUGAAGACCUUAUAUAAGAAUCUAUCGGCUUCUGGUCAAGGAUUAGCUCUAAUUUCCCCAAAAUCAUAAAAACUGCAUUUUAAAUAAGCCCAUAAAUAUUUGAUUAAUGGCCAGUAUUACCGAAAACUAGCAAGUUUCCACACACUAAGUUCAUGCCUGUAAACAGUUACUCUAAUGUUUUGUUUCUGAUGGCUGGUUUCCUGGCAUCUUUGUGUCCAGGGAAAAUGAUACAGAGGGAAGGUGAAUUAAAGUCUCAAACCAAAAAUCUAAAACGAAGACUUAAUUGGGGAACGAGUAACCUUCUGUUCUUCUUUCAGAUCAAUUUGGACCCAAGUGUUUGUUAAAGUCUCGGCUUAACAAGCGAGGACUGUGAAACCGCCUCCGCGAAACAUAUAACGAAUCUAUGAGAGCGGUGACUAAUUGGGGUUCGGUAUAGUUUAUGCCCCCCCUGGCAAAGCUCUCGGUGUGAUCUUGCAGAAAUUCUUGACUCACUCCAUAUGUGCCAUUGCUUUUGAAAUAUUUAAUAUAUAUAUAACAUUUAUAUUUAUCAUCUAUGAGAUUAAAACAAAACACGAUUGACUUUGGAAA